rnacentral:lncRNA from 1 species
AGCCUCCUUCGCAGCUAGAUGUAGUCAUGUGACAUUGUGGCCAAUGAGCCUGGGCUGCAGAUGAGGUGGCUGAAGCUUGACAGCUAUCUUAGAUCACAAGAGAUUCUUCAGCACCUGCUCUGAUGGGUUCUUUGAAAAAUUCAUCUCUUGAAUAAUGAAACAACGGCCUGAGGGAGGAACGUGGAAAUAGACGGUUUACAGCCAAAGCCCAGAAGGAAGCUGUGGACUUCUUGAAUCUCCCGAGGACCCGUGGGUCUUCACUCUGAAAGGAAGGAUUGUCCACCCGGCUCAGCAUCUCAUCUCUACAACCGGAGGUUGAAGUCCCUAAUGCUGACCUUUAAAUAGCGGAUGUGUGGAUCGUUCCAACAUGGCUGGACUCUGAAAGAUGGCUUUCAUCCUGUCCAGGAUACGAGAUUGCACCCACGCUUUAUCCAGCAUGAAGGAGCAGAGCACUUCCUGGGAGAAGACAGACCUUGGCUUUGUGAGCGGGACACGUGGAAACGGGAGCUUUGUCGGGUGGGUCUGAGGGACAUGGCAGGCCAGCCACCUGAACAGUGAACUUGAGUGAUUGCAUAUACUAAUGAUGGUUACAACAGUGCUCUGUAGCUACUUCCUGUUUUGUUACCACCAUGCAAGAGGCUCAGCCUCUCUGGGUUCUGGGCAGCUUGUGGCUUCCACAGUGAGCAUUCCAAGAAGGAAACUAGCUUCUGGAGUUGAGCCCUGACUUCUCUUUGUCCCUGCAGGUGAGGUGACUCAAAGUCUCCUUUCAACACCUAUUCUUCAUUCUCUUGCUGGGGGCCUGGAGGUUUAUUGGCCUGUCCCACCAAGACACCCGGGAUGGUCACAUAGAAUAGUUACACAUUCCCCCGACAGGUCUUCUAGCUCUGUCAUUCUCGUUCAAGCCCUGCGUUCUCUACAUUUGAUCCAGGAAGGCAUUGCCUGUCUAUAGGCAUCAGAUGCUGUAGUGGGCUGACCCUUUCUCAGCUGGUUGGGUCAUUUGUGACUGGGCCACUGUUUCUAGUCAUUGGUAGUUUUUCAUCUCAAUCCCCUUCAACCUCUUCUCUGUCUUGAGACUGAUCCCAUGGUCUUGGAAAUCUCCGAGCCAAUGGUGGGUCAGCAUUCCAGCCCCCCCCAUCUCCGCCCCCUGUCCCCUAAGAAUUCCAUGGACUGACCAUGUAUGGGUUUAUCAGAGGGCCCAGCAGAAUUCAGCCUGGGUCCCCAGUCCACAGCACAUGUAUUUUUAGAUUCCUUCCUUGCUUGCUCUAUUCCCCCACUCCCUCUCUUGGGCUUCCAGGAGGUGCCUCCAGAAUGAGCCACUUGCACCAGUGACCUUAUAUUGAGAUCUGUUCUGUCUAUUAGUAGGGGCUCUCUAGAGGAACAGAAGUAAUAGGCUGAAUAUAUAUCAAGAGGGGGUUUAUUAGAUUGGCUUCCAUGAUAUAGUAUAGUCCAACAAUGGCUGUCAUCAUAUCAGAGGCUGAGAACCAGUGGUUGUUCUGUCCUCGAGGCUGGAUGCCCCAGCAGUUCUUAUCUGGUAUUGGAGGCCUGGUGAGUUCCUCGAGAGCCCCUGGUCUUCCAUAGUGGAAGGCUGAGGAAGUGGAGUUCCCGAGUCAGCUGAGGAUGGUGGUGGUGGUGGCGGCGGCGGCAGCGGCAGUAGCAGCAGCAGGGUAGACGCAUCCACAGUGAGGUCUGUCUUUCCACUGUGGGUCCCAGGGAUCAGAUGUCAGUCAUCAGUCUUUAUAGUAGGUGCUUUUACACUCUGACCCAUCUCACUGACCCCAACGUUAAUUCUUUAUGAAAAAGAAACAAUAUAAAAUGUACUCGAGUCUCCAAACAGACUCGACG